CGGAGAGUUUGAUCCUGGCUCAGAUUGAACGCUGGCGGCAGGCCUAACACAUGCAAGUCGAGCGGUAGAGAGAAGCUUGCUUCUCUUGAGAGCGGCGGACGGGUGAGUAAUGCCUAGGAAUCUGCCUGGUAGUGGGGGAUAACGUCCGGAAACGGACGCUAAUACCGCAUACGUCCUACGGGAGAAAGCAGGGGACCUUCGGGCCUUGCGCUAUCAGAUGAGCCUAGGUCGGAUUAGCUAGUUGGUGGGGUAAUGGCUCACCAAGGCGACGAUCCGUAACUGGUCUGAGAGGAUGAUCAGUCACACUGGAACUGAGACACGGUCCAGACUCCUACGGGAGGCAGCAGUGGGGAAUAUUGGACAAUGGGCGAAAGCCUGAUCCAGCCAUGCCGCGUGUGUGAAGAAGGUCUUCGGAUUGUAAAGCACUUUAAGUUGGGAGGAAGGGCAGUAAAUUAAUACUUUGCUGUUUUGACGUUACCGACAGAAUAAGCACCGGCUAACUCUGUGCCAGCAGCCGCGGUAAUACAGAGGGUGCAAGCGUUAAUCGGAAUUACUGGGCGUAAAGCGCGCGGUAGGUGUUCGUUAAGUUGGAUGUGAAAUCCCCGGGCUCAACCUGGGAACUGCAUUCAAAAC
rnacentral:rRNA from 1 species